CCUCCUUUCUAAGGAAAUCGAAAAAUAUUGAAACAAUUAUUUUCGAUUUAAAAAAAACCGGUAAUGUGACCGUCCUCAUUUCUCUUCUUUUAAUGUUUCUGAGUAUAUGUAAAGGGGCCGGUAGCUCAGGUGGUUAGAGCGCACCCCUGAUAAGGGUGAGGUCGGAAGUUCGAGUCUUCCUCGGCCCACCAAUAUUAAGGGGGAUUAGCUCAGCUGGGAGAGCGCCUGAUUUGCAUUCAGGAGGUCAGCGGUUCGAUCCCGCUAUCCUCCACCAAAUUUGAGACAUUUAGCUUUUUUAAAUUGUGAAUAUUAUUAUUAUCAAUAUCUAUAUCCGAUUGUUUUCAGAUAUUUUUUUGAAAACAAUCAAAACAAAAAUUUAAUUUAUUACAGAAAAAAUUUUUUUCUGUGCAUAAAUCAAGCGUUUAAGGGCGAUUGGCGGAUGCCUGGGCACUGUAAGACGAUGAAGGACGUGGUAUACUGCGAUAAGUUCGGGGAGCUGUAUGCAAGCUUGGAUCCGAAGAUUCCGAAUGGGGAA
rnacentral:misc_RNA from 1 species